UAGAGUUUGAUCAUGGCUCAGAUUGAACGCUGGCGGCAGGCCUAACACAUGCAAGUCGAGCGGCAGCACGGGUACUUGUACCUGGUGGCGAGCGGCGGACGGGUGAGUAAUGCCUAGGAAUCUGCCUGGUAGUGGGGGAUAACGCUCGGAAACGGACGCUAAUACCGCAUACGUCCUACGGGAGAAAGCAGGGGACCUUCGGGCCUUGCGCUAUCAGAUGAGCCUAGGUCGGAUUAGCUAGUUGGUGAGGUAAUGGCUCACCAAGGCGACGAUCCGUAACUGGUCUGAGAGGAUGAUCAGUCACACUGGAACUGAGACACGGUCCAGACUCCUACGGGAGGCAGCAGUGGGGAAUAUUGGACAAUGGGCGAAAGCCUGAUCCAGCCAUGCCGCGUGUGUGAAGAAGGUCUUCGGAUUGUAAAGCACUUUAAGUUGGGAGGAAGGGCAGUUACCUAAUACGUAUCUGUUUUGACGUUACCGACAGAAUAAGCACCGGCUAACUCUGUGCCAGCCGCCGCGGUAAUAC
rnacentral:rRNA from 1 species